rnacentral:rRNA from 1 species
UACGGAGGGUGCAAGCGUUGUCCGGAUUUAUUGGGUUUAAAGGGUGCGUAGGCGGCUUUUUAAGUCAGUGGUGAAAUACAGCAGCUCAACUGUUGAGGUGCCAUUGAUACUGAGAGGCUUGAGUACAGAUGAGGUAGGCGGAAUUUAUGGUGUAGCGGUGAAAUGCAUAGAUACCAUAAAGAACACCGAUUGCGAAGGCAGCUUACUAAGCUGUAACUGACACUGGAGGCACGGAAAAGCGUGGGGAGCGAACAGG